GCGCUCAUAGCUCAGCUGGAUAGAGCAUCGGCCUUCUAAGCCGACGGUCCGGGGUUCGAAUCCUCGUGGGCGCGCCA
rnacentral:tRNA from 1 species